UCUUUUUUUAAAUUAUUUAUACUGUAGACUUGUCAUGGAAAUGCAGACCACAAAGCAAUAACAAAUAUUAUUUUUCCUUAAGAUGCUGUUUUUUUGUCUCUGUAUCCAUACAUUUCUAAGCAAGUGGGCUACAACAGGAGUGUUUUCCAACAGUCAAAAGAGAGAAAACUCGGUAUGCUGAACUAGAUAAGUAGGAUGAAAUCAGAUCACAAUGCCCUUGAUGUCUAACGCAGGGAUUUAGUGAAGGGAACCAAGGGACAGGAUGAGGGAGGACACUGACAGCUUGUACUCUUGAUGGCCAAAUCCCGACCCCUGUUGUCCUUCCAAGUUAGGGAGCAUUUCCAGCUGAUAGACACUGUUGUCUGGCACACAGAUUGUUGUACCCUUGUAAUUUCCUUAUCCCUGCUAUUUUUACUUUUUAUAACCCAUCAUUUGAAAUAUCUUUAUUAUUCCCUCUUUCUUGUCCUUUUUUAGGGCUGCUGUUGCAGAGCCAUAUUCUCACAUCCGUUGAGUGAAGAGCACUCCAACUCUCCAUUCCAACUAUCCAUCUGUGCUGGGGAUAGUGGAGUCAAGGAGGGACUGAACUACGGCUAAGAUGAGAAGAUCUUCAGUGGUGUUGAAGGAGGCUGUUGCAAGAUUUGGGAGCUUCUUGGACAAAUCUCAUUUGACUCUCUCUGCAAUGGAGAUCUUCAGCCCAUCUGUGGCCAAAGAAUGGUAAACAAAUAUAAGUCAGUAAGCAUAGUCCUCCCCUCUUGCUUUAACAUUUUUGAAAAGGCAAUACGUGGUUCAGUUUCUUAAUCUACCAUACUGAAGAAGGAUGGCAAUGGAAAUAAAUUAAAGUCAUCCAUAUUGUCCUGUGUGUUCGUGCUGUGGAGUUCCAGGACCUCAAGUAUAAUAUAGUUUUUUUUUUUUUUUUGUUACAGUAAGUUUUUAAAAAUCAAUUUUUUAAAUUUCUGUUACAUCAAUUCCAGAUUUUAAACUAAGUUAAACAGUCAGACAAGCUCCAUAGAUACAUUCUAAUUAAAAGCCUCAAGUACAUUUGCAGAGAGAAAGUCCUUGUGCCUUCACUGUGACUUCUCUUACAACUCUUCCUGUUGCCUAUAAAGGGCUAAAUAUGCUAAUUAUCCACAUACUAUUCUGAGCUGAUCUCAACCAAACAAUCGAAUCCUAGAGUCUUGUUGAGGACCAUCUGUUACAUUGUUAAUCUUCAGUGGACAUCCCUGGCCAGGAGUGGUUGUUUGCAGAGAUUGUAUUGUGUUGGUUUUCUUUCUAAUUGCAAAAUCUUAUAAAUAAAAAUAUAAAAAUCACA